CACGUAGGCGGCUUUGUAAGUUAGAGGUGAAAGCCCGGGGCUCAACUCCGGAAUUGCCUUUAAGACUGCAUUGCUAGAAUUGUGGAGAGGUAAGUGGAAUUCCGAGUGUAGAGGUGAAAUUCGUAGAUAUUCGGAAGAACACCAGUGGCGAAGGCGACUUACUGGACACAUAUUGACGCUGAGGUGCGAAAGCGUGGGGAGCAAACA
rnacentral:rRNA from 1 species